rnacentral:lncRNA from 1 species
UUUUUUGCAUCAACUAUUGAGUUGGCAAUAUGGUGUCUGCUGGAUUCUUGAAUCUCUCCCAAGCAUUACCCAGAGUCAUUGUACGCAUGUACAAAGUUCCUGGAAUCAAGCAUGGCAGCAUAAGCUACCCAAUUGUUUACUGACUGAGCUCUCCAGAUCAUCUCAUGUUUCAGAUCACUAAAUAAGAACUAGCCAUCAGUGGUGAGCUCAACUUUUGAUUCUUUUGGCACUGGAUUGUCUCCAUUCACAUACCAAAUGAUAGUUUUACUAGGAUUUUUCGUCAAACCAGAUUGCAAGCAAGAAGAGAGCAUGAUCCUCAUGGCGGGGGAACCCAAAUGCAAAAUCACCAGAAGAUGAUUUCCAUGAAGAGGUUUCACUAUUUUGUUUAGGGUAAAUUAAACCUACAUCCUUGAGUUUUCACUUCCUGUUAUGUUUAUCCUUUAAAAAAAACGUUUAUGAAAUUGUGAUUAUACCCAAAAGACUCACCCCUUCUGUUUAUUAUGGCAGGCCACCAUUUUCAUCUUUCAUGUAAAUAUAGUUAAGGAAAAAAGGUAGACAUGGAAGUCAAGUUUAGCAACAAU